rnacentral:rRNA from 1 species
GGCUUAACUCAGGGGCUGCUUCCGAAACUGCCGUGCUAGAGUGUGGGAGAGGCGCGUGGAAUUGCAGGUGUAGCGGUGAAAUGCGUAGAUAUCUGCAGGAACACCCGUGGCGAAAGCGGCGCGCUGGACCACUACUGACGCUGAGGAACGAAAGCUAGGGGAGCAAACAGGAUUAGAUACCCUGGUAGUCCUAGCCCUAAACGAUCAGGACUUGGGGUGCCACCCGUUCGGGUGUCGUCCCGGAGCUAACGCGUUAAGUCCUGCACCUGGGGAGUACGGUCGCAAGACUGAAACUCAAAGGAAUUGACGGGGGCCCGCACAAGCGGUGGAACAUGUGGUUCAAUUCGACGCUACGCGAGGAACCUUACC